rnacentral:rRNA from 1 species
GAUGAACGCUGGCGGCGUGCUUAACACAUGCAAGUCGAACGGACGGGCGCAAACUUUCUUGGUUACUCGAGUGGCGCACGCGUGAGUGACACACGUGUGAUCUGCCCUGAUCUUCGUGAUAAGCCUUGGGGACUGGGUCUAUUACCGGGUAGGACAAUGUGUUGGAUGUCGUUGUGGAGUGUUUUAUCGUUUUGGGGUGAGCUAGCGGCGUAUCAGCGAGUUGGUGGGUUAAUGGUUUACCAAGGCGUCGCCGCCUAACCGGCCUGCGAGGGUGAUCGGACACACUGGAACUGAGGCACGCUCCGGACUCCUACGGGAGGCAGCAGUAGGGAAGCUUGCACAAUGGGCGAAAGCCUGACGAAGCAAGGCCGCGUGAGUGAGGAAGGUCGUCGGAUCGCAAAACGCUGUUAUUAGGGAAGAACAUAUGUGUAAGGAACUGUGCACAUCUUGACGGUACCUAAUCAGAAAGCCACGGCUAACUACGUG